ensembl:lncRNA
GAAGCCUUCCACUGGUGUCCUCUCUUGCCGGCUUUUUACAUGGCUACUACAGAGCAGAGACAGGAGGAGGAGAGGAAGACAUAGCUGUCUUCAUCCUCCUGGUCCUCAUCCUCAUCCUCUUGGAAAUGAGCUUACUUCUUUGGAACAUUCCAGUGCAGACACUGGGCCAUGUUCUCAAUACAGUCCGUCACGGGGUGCAAACACAGAAAGAGGACAGCUGGUAUCAGGAGGUUGUGAUGCUGAUGCUGUCUCCAUGGCACAUUUCCUGUAUCUUCUGUCCAUCAAAAGACACCCGUGCAGUGUGACAGCAUAGUCUUCAGCUAGACCACUGCGGGGAUCUCCAUCUGACAGAAUGAGAGCCAGGGGCAGAUGGAUGUGAC